UCAAGUCCUAUUUGUGAAUGGAAAGGACUGGAAGUUCACCUUAAAAUGUCUUCAAUAGGCCGUGUUUAAGAGGCGUCUUGCACUCCCUGUUGCCAGUGGCUGGAACACAAUGGAUCACACAGGGGCGAUAGACACCGAGGAUGAAGUGGGACCUUUAGCCCAUCUUGCUCCAAGUCCUCAGAGUGAAGCUGUGGCUCAUGAAUUCCAGGAACUCUCCUUGCAGUCCAGUCAAAACUUACCCCCUCUGAACGAAAGGAAAAAUGGAAAUUUUCAUCGCUCACAGAGAUAUUCCAGAGUCUCCAGAAGACACAAUACUGUCAAUUUUUAACGUAAACAAAUAGAGAUAGAUGACAUAUACUUUUAAUACUUAAGAUACAAAAUCUAACAAAGUAAUGUUAAAAUUUGCAAACACUCUAAGCAUGCACAUUAAAAAAUAGAAUUAAGGUUUUUUUCUGGAAUUACUAUACCUUCCACAGUUCUGAUGAG
rnacentral:sRNA from 1 species